AACUUUGCGCAGUGGCAGUAUCGUAGCCAAUGAGGUUUAUCCGAGGUGCGAUUAUUGCUAAAAUGGACAUAUUGCCUCUUGUUCUUCUUAAGUCACAAGAUUUUAUAGCAAUCAAAUUAAGCAAAUAGGAAAACACUUGG
rnacentral:snRNA from 1 species